UUUUUGGGGGGGGGGGGGAGUCCUAGGAAUCUGCCUGGUAGUGGGGGACAACGUUUCGAAAGGAACGCUAAUACCGCAUACGUCCUACGGGAGAAAGCAGGGGACCUUCGGGCCUUGCGCUAUCAGAUGAGCCUAGGUCGGAUUAGCUAGUUGGUGAGGUAAUGGCUCACCAAGGCGACGAUCCGUAACUGGUCUGAGAGGAUGAUCAGUCACACUGGAACUGAGACACGGUCCAGACUCCUACGGGAGGCAGCAGUGGGGAAUAUUGGACAAUGGGCGAAAGCCUGAUCCAGCCAUGCCGCGUGUGUGAAGAAGGUCUUCGGAUUGUAAAGCACUUUAAGUUGGGAGGAAGGGCAGUAAGUUAAUACCUUGCUGUUUUGACGUUACCGACAGAAUAAGCACCGGCUAACUCUGUGCCAGCAGCCGCGGUAAUACAGAGGGUGCAAGCGUUAAUCGGAAUUACUGGGCGUAAAGCGCGCGUAGGUGGUUCGUUAAGUUGGAUGUGAAAGCCCCGGGCUCAACCUGGGAACUGCAUCCAAAACUGGCGAGCUAGAGUACGGUAGAGGGUGGUGGAAUUCCUGGCGACCUGC
rnacentral:rRNA from 1 species